rnacentral:rRNA from 1 species
AAUGUAGCAAUACAUGGCGAACUGCUCAGUAACACGUGGACAACCUACCCUUAGGUCAGGGAUAACCCCGGGAAACUGGGAAUAUACCUGAUAUGGCGCGAAGGCUGGAAUGCAUCGCGCAAGAAAGCUCCGGUGCCUAAGGAUGGGUCUGCGGCCUAUCAGGGUAGUAGUGGGUGUAACGUACCUACUAGCCUACGACGGGUACGGGUUGUGAGAGCAAGAGCCCGGAGAUGGAUUCUGAGACACGAAUCCAGGCCCUACGGGGUGCAGCAGGCGCGAAAACUUUACAAUGCCGGAAACGGCGAUAAGGGAACCUCGAGUGCCAGGAUACAAUCCUGGCUGCCGUAAUGCCUAAAAAGCAUUUCAUAGCGAGGGCCGGGCAAGACCGGUGCCAGCCGCCGCGGUAACACCGGCGGCUCGAGUGGUAACCGUUAUUAUUGGGUCUAAAGGGUCUGUAGCCGGCUGGAUAAGUCUCUUGGGAAAUCCGGCAGCUCAACUGUCGGGCUUUCAGGAGAUACUGUCCGGCUCGAGACCGGGAGAGGUGAGAGGUACUUCAGGGGUAGGGGUGAAAUCUUGUAAUCCUUGAAGGACCACCAGUGGCGAAGGCGUCUCACCAGAACGGAUCUGACGGCAAGGGACGAAAGCUAGGGGCACGAACCGGAUUAGAUACCCGGGUAGUCCUAGCCGUAAACGAUACUCGCUAGGUGUCGGCCACGGUGCGACCGUGGUCGGUGCCGUAGGGAAGCCGUGAAGCGAGCCAUCUGGGAAGUACGGCCGCAAGGCUGAAACUUAAAGGAAUUGGCGGGGGGAGCACUACAACGGGUGGAGCUUGCGGUUUAAUUGGAUUCAACGCCGGGAAGG